rnacentral:rRNA from 1 species
GGAGGUAGUGACAAUAAAUCACAAUGCGGAACUUUUAGUUUUGCAAUUGGAUUGAGAACAAUGUACAAAUGUUAUCGAUAAACAAUUGGAGGGCAAGUCUGGUGCCAGCAGCCGCGGUAAUUCCAGCUCCAAUAGCGUAUAUUAACGUUGUUGCAGUUAAAAAGCUCGUAGUUGAAAUGUGGGAUGAAGUAUAUAAUGAAUUUCUAAUUCAAUUGUAUAUUGAUUCCCCUCUCCAAUUUAUUAUUAUGGGUAUUAAUUUAUUUGUAAUAAGAAUUGGUCAUUUACUGUGAGAAAAUUAGAGUGUUCAAAGCAGGCAUUUGCUUGAAUAGAUUAGCAUGGAAUAAUACUAAAAGGCUUUUAUGGUCGAUUUAAUUGGUUUGUUCAUAAAAGCAAGAUUAAAAGGAACUGUUGGGGGUAUUCAUAUUCAAUAGUUAGAGGUGAAAUUCUCGGAUUUAUGGAAGAUGAACAAGUGCGAAAGCA